rnacentral:tRNA from 1 species
GCCUGGGUGGCUCAGUUGGUUGAGCAUCUGACUUCAGCUCAGGUCAUGAUCUCACGGUCCAUGGGUUCGAGCCCUGUGUCAGGCU